rnacentral:lncRNA from 1 species
AAAUGAGUGAGAGGGAGAUAUGGUGUGGAAAAAAAGAAGCAAAUGGAUAUGAGUGGAUAUGGGUUAGAGCAAGAGGAGAAGAAAGAGUGAAAUGAGAUAAUUAAUAUGAAUAAGGGAGUGAAGAAAAACAAGAUCUCAAUAUUCAAAAAACAUUGAAGGCAGGUUAGGAAUGAUACAUGUUUAUGCUUAAUUGGAGAUUUAGUGGAGGUUCUUGGUAAUUUAAUGGAAAUGACAAAUGAUAGUGGAAGGUGUAAAGGUUUCGU